rnacentral:rRNA from 1 species
GACAGAGGGGGCAAGCGUUGCUCGGAAUCACUGGGCGUAAAGGGCGCGUAGGCGGGAUGGCAAGUCAGUCGUGAAAUCUCUCGGCUCAACCGAGAAACGUCGGCUGAUACUGCCGUUCUUGAGGGAUGCAGAGGAGACUGGAAUUCCCGGUGUAGCGGUGAAAUGUGUAGAGAUCGGGAGGAACACCGGUGGCGAAGGCGGGUCUCUGGGCAUUUCCUGACGCUGAGACUCGAAAGCAUGGGGAGCAAACAGG